CGUCCACCGUCGCGACCCUGAGCGGCGAAGUGUUCUACUACAUCUCGCAGCGCUCGGAGCGCAAAGUCGCCUUUAUGCAGCAGCAGGUCGUCGACCAGCGCGUAAUCGCGAUCUAUUUCGACAAGAACCGGACGGUCCAGCGUAUCGCGAAUUACGGACUUCAGGACGGCAAGAUUUUCGAUUUCAUCAGCCGCACGACGCCGACCAGCGGUCAGGAAAUGAGCUACCUCACGCCGAUCUUCAAGCUCCUCAGC
rnacentral:misc_RNA from 1 species